CGCAACUGGCGCAAGGAUGCCAUGCCGCCUGGUUGUAACAAUUAAGUUUGAAGCUCAUUAAAUGCAGCCAGUAACCGGCAUUUGCAUUUGCCUGCACUUGAGUUUAUUAUGCGAACGCAAACUGCAAA
rnacentral:sRNA from 1 species